GUGAUGUUGCAAUGAUGCUGAAAACUACCUAUUUCCUGAUGGGAGUUUAAUCUCCAUCUGAUUAUCGAAACCAAUGGAUCCUGCUGAGCCUCU